CCCGGGCCUUGUACACACCGCCCGUCACACCACGAGAGUUUGUAACACCCGAAGUCGGUGGGGUAACCCUUCUGGGAGCCAGCCGCCUAAGGUGGGAUAGAUGAUUGGGGUG
rnacentral:rRNA from 1 species